rnacentral:rRNA from 1 species
GACGAACGCUGGCGGCAUGCUUAACACAUGCAAGUCGAACGGUAAGGCCCUUCGGGGUACACGAGUGGCGAACGGGUGAGUAACACGUGGGUGAUCUGCCCUGCACUUCGGGAUAAGCCUGGGAAACUGGGUCUAAUACCGGAUAGGACCACUGCCUGCAUGGGUGGUGGUGAAAGCUUUUGCGGUGUGGGAUGGGCCCGCGGCCUAUCAGCUUGUUGGUGGGGUGAUGGCCUACCAAGGCGACGACGGGUAGCCGGCCUGAGAGGGUGACCGGCCACACUGGGACUGAGAUACGGCCCAGACUCCUACGGGAGGCAGCAGUGGGGAAUAUUGCACAAUGGGCGCAAGCCUGAUGCAGCGACGCCGCGUGAGGGAUGACGGCCUUCGGGUUGUAAACCUCUUUCAGCACCGACGAAGCGCAAGUGACGGUAGGUGCAGAAGAAGGACCGGCCAACUACGUGCCAGCAGCCGCAGUAA